rnacentral:lncRNA from 1 species
UCCAAUCCAAUAAAUCACCCACACACAAAAUCAUCAAUAUUCAUCCAAUCCAAUAAAUCAUUAUAAAAUAAAAAUAUUAGGCAUAAUCAUCAAUUAGAAUUUAGAGUUUAAAAAUUACUUGAAUAUGAGCAUUUCCACCCCACCAACUAGAAUCACAAAUCUACACCUCCUAGAAACACAAACAAAAACAAAAACAAAAAACAAAAAAAACCAUUAUAUAAUGACCCAAAAGAUUAAAUUCCUCAAAAUUAAACAAAAGAAUGUAGCACAAUGGUUUAAGUAUACCAAGAACAAUAAAUUUACAAAAUUAGAGAUGGAGAGGGAAGAGAAUGAAAACCUGGUGAAGUAAGUCAAGUCCAC